GUUUCUGUAGUGUAGUGGUUAUCACGUUUCGGCUCGCGAAAGGUCCCCGGUUCGAAACCGGGCAGAAACA